GAUGAACGCUGGCGGCGUGCUUAAUACAUGCAAGUCGAACGGAAAGACCCUGCUUUUGUGGCGUGCUCGUGUGGCGCACGGGUGAGUAACACGUGUGUAUCAUGUCCUUGUCUUUCGGAUAUCUUCAGGAAACUGGGGCUCAUACCCGAUAGGAGCUACUGCUGCAUGGUGGGGGAUGGAAAGUUUCGGCGGUUGGGGAUGGUCUCGCUGCUUAUCAGCUUGUUUGUGGGGUAGUGGCUUACCAAGGCUUUGACGGGUAGCCGGCCUGAGAGGGUGACCGGCCACAAGAGGACUGAGAUACGGCGCAGAAGCGAAUGGGAGGCAGUAGUGGAGAGUAUUGCACAAUAGGCGGAAGCCUGAUACGACAACGCCGCGAGCGGGAAAACGUCCUACGAGGUGUAAACCGCUGUCGACGGAGACGAGGCGUGAGUGACGGUAAUGAGUAAGAAAGCACCGGCUAACUACGUG
rnacentral:rRNA from 1 species